rnacentral:rRNA from 1 species
CAUGCCGCGUGCAGGAAGACUGCCCUAUGGGUUGUAAACUGCUUUUAUACGGGAAGAAACACAUCUACGUGUAGGUGCUUGACGGUACCGUAUGAAUAAGGAUCGGCUAACUCCGUGCCAGCAGCCGCGGUAAUACGGAGGAUCCAAGCGUUAUCCGGAAUCAUUGGGUUUAAAGGGUCCGUAGGCGGGUGCAUAAGUCAGUGGUGAAAGUCUGCAGCUUAACUGUAGAAUUGCCAUUGAUACUGUACACCUUGAAUUAUUAUGAAGUGGUUGGAAUGAGUAGUGUAGCGGUGAAAUGCAUAGAUAUUACUUAGAAUACCUAUUGCGAAGGCAGAUCACUAAUAAUAUAUUGACGCUGAUGGACGAAAGCGUAGGUAGCGAACAGGAUUAGAUACCCUGGUAGUCUACGCCGUAAACGAUGGUUACUAGCUGUCCGGCCUAAUUGAGGGCUGAGUGGCUAAGCGAAAGUGAUAAGUAACCCACCUGGG